rnacentral:rRNA from 1 species
ACGGCGAGUGANAGGAAGAGCUCAAAGUUGGAACCUGUUUGGCCUAGCUAAACCGGAUUGUAGACUGUAGAAGUGUUUUCCAGGCAAGCCGAGUAAAUAAGUCCUUUGGAACAGGGCAUCAUAGAGGGUGAGAAUCCCGUCUUUGGCUUGAGCAUUUGCCUUUUGUGAUACGCUUUCAAAGAGUCAGGUUGUUUGGGAAUGCAGCCUAAAUUGGGUGGUAAAUCUCACCUAAAGCUAAAUAUUGGCGAGAAACCGAUAGCGAACAAGUACCGUGAGGGAAAGAUGAAAAGAACUUUGAAAAGAGAGUUAAACAGUAUGUGAAAUUGUUAAAAGGGAACCGUUUGGAGCCAGACUGGCUUGUCUGUAAUCAAUCUAGGCUUCGGCCUGGAUGCACUUGCAGGCUAUGCCUGCCAACGACAAUUUGACUUGAGGGAAAAAACUAAGGGAAAUGUGGCCCACUUGUGGGUGUUAUAGUCCCUUAGAAAAUACCUUGGGUUGGAUUGAGGAACGCAGCGAAUGCUUUUUGGCGAGUUUUCCAGGAAGGUUUUCUGAGGUACUACGGUAUCAAGGUUGAUCUUUUUGGUUAUACUUCUAUUCGCUUAGGUUGUUGGCUUAAUGACUCUAAAUGACCCGUCUUGNANNNACGGACCA